rnacentral:rRNA from 1 species
GACGAACGCUGGCGGUGUGCUUAACACAUGCAAGUCGAACGGAAAGGCCCUGCUUUUGUGCGGUUCUCGAGUGGCGAACGGGUGAGUAACACGUGAGUAUCCUGCCCUUGACUUUGGGAUAACUUCAGGAAACUAAGGCUAAUCCCGGAUAGGAGCUCCUGCUGCAUGGUGGGGGUUGGAAAGUUUCGGCGUGUGGGGGUGGACGCGCGGCUUAUCAGCUUGUUGGUGGGGUAGUGGAUUACCAAGGCUUUGACGGGUAGCCGGGCUGAGAGGGUGGUCGGGCACAAUGGGACUGAGAUACGGCCCAGACUCGAACGGUAGGCAGCAGAGGGGAAGAUAGCACAGGGGGAGGGAGCCUGAUGCAACAACGCAACGGGCGGGAAGACGUCAUGCGGGUUGUAAACCGCAGCCGCUUGAGACGAAGCGUGAGUGACGGUAAUGGGAAAAGAAGCACCGGCUAACUACGUG